GACGAACGCUGGCGGCGUGCUUAACACAUGCAAGUCGAACGGAAAGGGCCUGCUUUUGUGGGGUUCUCGAGUGGCGAACGUGUGAGUAACACGGGAGUAACCUUCCCUGUGCUGUGGGAUAACUGCAGGAAACUGGUGCUAAUACCUGAUAGGAGCUCGUGCUGGAUGGUGGGGGUUGGAAAUUUUCGGCGGUUGGGGGUGGAGUCGGGGUUAAUGAGCUGGUGGGGGGGGUGGUGGCUUACCAGGGAUUUGACGGGUAGCCGGCCUGAGAGGGUGAACGGCCCCAUAGGGAGAGAGAUACGGCCCAGACGGCUACGGGGGGAAGGAGUGGGGAAUAUUGCAAAAUGGGCGGAAGGUUGAUGCAGGAACGCCGGGUGCGGGAUGACGGCAUUCGGGUUGUAAACCGAUUUAGCCUGUGACGAAGCGUGAGUGAGGGUAAUGGAUAAAGAAGCACCGGCUAACUACGG
rnacentral:rRNA from 1 species